GUAGGGUGCGAGCGUUGUCCGGAAUUACUGGGCGUAAAGAGCUCGUAGGUGGUUUGUCGCGUCGUUUGUGUAAGCCCGCAGCUUAACUGCGGGACUGCAGGCGAUACGGGCAUAACUUGAGUGCUGUAGGGGAGACUGGAAUUCCUGGUGUAGCGGUGGAAUGCGCAGAUAUCAGGAGGAACACCGAUGGCGAAGGCAGGUCUCUGGGCAGUAACUGACGCUGAGGAGCGAAAGCAUGGGGAGCGAACAGGAUUAGAUACCCUGGUAGUCCAUGCCGUAAACGGUGGGCGCUAGGUGUGAGUCCCUUCCACGGGGUUCGUGCCGUAGCUAACGCAUUAAGCGCCCCGCCUGGGGAGUACGGCCGCAAGGCUAAA
rnacentral:rRNA from 1 species